rnacentral:rRNA from 1 species
UACGAAGGGGGCUAGCGUUGCUCGGAAUCACUGGGCGUAAAGGGUGCGUAGGCGGGUCUUUAAGUCAGAGGUGAAAUCCUGGAGCUCAACUCCAGAACUGCCUUUGAUACUGAGGAUCUUGAGUACGGGAGAGGUGAGUGGAACUGCGAGUGUAGAGGUGAAAUUCGUAGAUAUUCGCAAGAACACCAGUGGCGAAGGCGGCUCACUGGCCCGUUACUGACGCUGAGGCACGGAAAGCGUGGGGAGCAAACAGG